rnacentral:piRNA from 1 species
UAAAGGGAGAAAGAAAGUCCUGGUGGC